UACGUAGGGUGCAAGCGUUACUCGGAAUUACUGGGCGUAAAGCGUGCGUAGGCGGCUAUGUAAGACAGAUGUGAAAUCCCUGGGCUCAACCUAGGAACUGCAUUUGUGACUGCAUAGCUAGAGUGUGGUAGAGGGAGAUGGAAUUCCGCAUGUAGCAGUGAAAUGCGUAGAUAUGCGGAGGAACACCAAUGGCGAAGGCAAUCUCCUGGACCUGCACUGACGCUCAUGCACGAAAGCGUGGGGAGCAAACAGG
rnacentral:rRNA from 1 species